rnacentral:rRNA from 1 species
AGAGUUUGAUCAUGGCUCAGGACGAACGCUGGCGGCGCGCUUAACACAUGCAAGUCGAGCGAGAACCAGGGCUUCGGCCCUGGGGACAGCGGCGAACGGGUGAGUAACACGUGAGCAAUCUGCCCUCGACACCGGGAUAGCCCGGGGAAACCCGGAUUAAUACUGGAUAGCCUUUCGAGCUCUCGGGCUCGUCAGAAAAGAUGGCUUCGGCUUUCGGUCGAGGAUGAGCUUGCGGCGGAUUAGCUUGUUGGUGGGGUAACGGCUCACCAAGGCGACAAUCCGUAGCUGGUCUGAGAGGACGAUCAGCCACACUGGGACUGAGACACGGCCCAGACUCCUACGGGAGGCAGCAGUGGGGAAUCUUGCGCAUGGGCGAAAGCCUGACGCAGCGACGCCGCGUGAGGGAAGAAGGCCUUCGGGUUGUAAACCUCUUUCAGGAGGGACGAAGCCACUCGGGCUAAUACCCCAGAGGGUGACGGUACCUCCAGAAGAAGCCCCGGCUAACUACGUGCCAGCAGCCGCGGUAAUACGUAGGGGGCAAGCGUUGUCCGGAAUCAUUGGGCGUAAAGAGCGUGUAGGCGGCCAGGUAGGUCUGCUGUGAAAACUCGAGGCUCAACUUCGAGAUGUCGGCGGAAACCAUCUGGCUAGAGUCCGGAAGAGGAGAGUAGAAUUCCUGGUGUAGCGGUGAAAUGCGCAGAUAUCAGGAGGAAUACCCGUGGCGAAAGCGGCUCUCUGGGACGGUACUGACGCUGAGACGCGAAAGCGUGGGGAGCAAACAGGAUUAGAUACCCCCGUAGUCC